GAGGACUGGCUGGAGUCAGAAACACCACAGGAUUGAUUUUUAUCAUCUUCUCUCUGGUUUAUGUUGCAAAUUCACUGACCAACAAGGAUCUUCCGAAACUCAAAGAAGAACUUUGGAAAGCAGAAAUAGCACUAGCCAAAAACAAGGCAGAACACGAGAACAAAAAAGCCCGCUUAAGAGAAAUUGAAGACAAUGUGAAGGUGCGUUAUUUUCCUGUUAUGGAACAAGUGAAGACACUUUUG